GAUUAACGCUGGCGGCGUGCAUAACACAUGCAAGUCGAACGAUGAAACUUAGUAGACUUCUUCGGCAAGACACUAAGCGGAUUAGUGGCGAACGGGUGAGUAACGCGUGAGUAACCUGCCUUCCACAAGGGGCUAGCCUUUGGAAACGAAGAAUACUACUCUAUAAAACCAUAAAAGCACAUGCUAGAAUGGUCAAAGUGAUAGCGGUGUAAGAUGGACUUGCGUCUGAUUAGCUAGUUGGUGAGAUAAAAGCUCACCAAGGCAACGAGCAGUAGCCGGCUUGAGAGAGUGUACGGCCACAUUGGGACUGAGACACGGCCCAGACUCCGACGGGAGGCAGCAGUGGGGAAUUUUGCACAAUGGGGGAAACCCUGAUGCAGCGACGCCGCGUGAUUUAGAAGGCCUUCGGGUUGUAAAAAUCUUUUGUAUAGGAAGAAAAUGACAGUACUAUACGAAUAAGGUCCGGCUAAUUACGUG
rnacentral:rRNA from 1 species